UAAUGCCUAGGAAUCUGCCUGGUAGUGGGGGAUAACGCUCGGAAACGGACGCUAAUACCGCAUACGUCCUACGGGAGAAAGCAGGGGACCUUCGGGCCUUGCGCUAUCAGAUGAGCCUAGGUCGGAUUAGCUAGUUGGUGAGGUAAUGGCUCACCAAGGCGACGAUCCGUAACUGGUCUGAGAGGAUGAUCAGUCACACUGGAACUGAGACACGGUCCAGACUCCUACGGGAGGCAGCAGUGGGGAAUAUUGGACAAUGGGCGAAAGCCUGAUCCAGCCAUGCCGCGUGUGUGAAGAAGGUCUUCGGAUUGUAAAGCACUUUAAGUUGGGAGGAAGGGUUGUAACCUAAUACGUUGCGAUCUUGACGUUACCGACAGAAUAAGCACCGGCUAACUCUGUGCCAGCAGCCGCGGUAAUACAGAGGGUGCAAGCGUUAAUCGGAAUUACUGGGCGUAAAGCGCGCGUAGGUGGUUCGUUAAGUUGG
rnacentral:rRNA from 1 species